AGAUGUGAAGUAGCCCUGAGUUAGACUCGAAGAGAUACAAACUGGACUUACUCUUUGUUGAUCUGAAAGUUAUCAAUGGGCGGUGUAAAUAGUUCAAGGGCUGUAGCUAGUGAGCUUUUUGAAGUAUCACAAAGUAAAACUUGCAAGAGACAGAGGUUGUCAUCGAUUUCUUGUGAGGAAAGUCCAAGAUUGAUUCCCAGCCUUCCUGAUGAAAUAUCAAUUCAGAUCCUUGCCAGACUUCCUAAGAUUUGUUACUUGAAAAUGAAGUUAGUGUCUCGGGC
rnacentral:misc_RNA from 1 species